GGAGGAUGACGAUGAAUCUGAAUAUGAGGAUGAUCCUUCUAAAAUCAUGUCAGAUUCAGAGCCAGAGCCAGAUGUAGAUGAAGAAGAAGAUCUAGAUGAUCCAAGUCAAAACUGGGAGAAGAAGAAGAGCAAAAAAAAUAAGCUCAUGGAUAAGCAGUUUAUGAAGGAUCCUAGUGAGAUCACAUGGGACACUGUGAACAAGAAAUUUAAGGAGGUUGUGGCUGCUCGGGGUAGGAAGGG
rnacentral:misc_RNA from 1 species